rnacentral:rRNA from 1 species
CAAUAGCGUAUAUUAAAGUUGUUGCAGUUAAAAAGCUCGUAGUUGGAUUUCUGGUAGGAGUGACCGUGCCAGACUUGAUUGUCUGUGUAUUGUGUUGUCUCCAGCCAUCCUUGUGGAGAACUUUUCUUGCAUUAAUUUGUAGGGACUGGGACCCGCAUCGUUUACUGUGAAAAAAUUAGAGUGUUUAAAGCAGGCAAUCGCUUGAAUACAUUAGCAUGGAAUAAUAAGAUAGGACUUUGGUACUAUUUUGUUGGUUUGCAUACCAAAUUAAUGAUCAACAGGAACAGUUUGAGGAUAUUCGUAUGAACAUGUCAGAGGUGAAAUUCUUGGAUUUUGAUCAGACGAACUACUGCGAAAGCAUUUAUCAAGGAUGUUUUCAUUA